GCUGUGGCUCAGUGGCAGAGAACCUGCUUUGCAUGCAGAAAGCCACAGGUUCAAUCCCUCGCAGAGAUG